rnacentral:rRNA from 1 species
UACGAAGGGGGCUAGCGUUGCUCGGAAUCACUGGGCGUAAAGGGUGCGUAGGCGGGUUUUUAAGUCAGGGGUGAAAUCCUGGAGCUCAACUCCAGAACUGCCUUUGAUACUGGAGAGCUUGAGUCCGGAAGAGGUGAGUGGAACUCCGAGUGUAGAGGUGAAAUUCGUAGAUAUUCGGAAGAACACCAGUGGCGAAGGCGGCUCACUGGUCCGGUACUGACGCUGAGGUGCGAAAGCGUGGGGAGCAAACAGG